rnacentral:rRNA from 1 species
UACGUAGGGUGCAAGCGUUGUCCGGAAUUAUUGGGCGUAAAGAGCUCGUAGGCGGUUUGUCGCGUCGAAUGUGAAAACCCGGGGCUCAACCCCGGGCCUGCAUUCGAUACGGGCAGACUAGAGUUCGGUAGGGGAGUCUGGAAUUCCUGGUGUAGCGGUGAAAUGCGCAGAUAUCAGGAAGAACACCCGUGGCGAAGGCGGCUCUCUGGGACGGUACUGACGCUGAGACGCGAAAGCGCGGGGAGCGAACGGG